rnacentral:tRNA from 1 species
GCGGGAGUGGUGGAAUUGGUAGACACGCUGGAUUUAGGUUCCAGUGUUGAAAGACAUGAGAGUUCGAGUCUCUCCUUCCGUACCA